GUCGCCCGAUUCAGCCCCGGGUUUUUGUUUUUCGGCAGGCGGUGGGCCGCCUCCGGGCUCCAAAAACUGGGACUCGCACUGGCCCCAAGCCGUUGCUGGGCCAGAGGUGGACUGAGGUGAGAGCCCAGUACGUCAGGGGCUGGGGCUGUUACAGUGACCGACCGUCAACAGCGUAAACAGAAGCGCCAUUUUUAAACAGCUGAGCGAGCAGCAGUAAUGUUCAGUGUUUCUGUUUUUAAAAACGGUAAAUAUAGAAGCAAAAUCCAAGCAGCAACGGUAUGAGGAGGAGACCCAAAGCUUCCUGUAACUGUGGUCUUCAUAUGAAAUUCAGUGGAAGUUAGAGGGAGCCUUUUGGACCACACCAGUGUUCGAAACAAUCCAGAGAUGGCUUCAGCUGUACGGACGGAACCUGACUAACUCCUCAACAACUAAAAAGCUCAUAAAUUACUACAAGGACCAGAAAAGGCAGCCGGGAUGCAGCAGUUUUUGGCCAAAAAGAGCCCCCAUUUUGACCUGCUGCAUUCCGUGAUUCCAACCGGGUCCAACCAGCGACAGCUGAGCAGGAGUUGAUGCAGGCCGCUGUACCACCGAUCCUGAUCCUGGAUGAUGAGGUUACCAGGAUCACUACUCUGCAGCUUACUGGUUCCGUCCUGCAGCUCCUCCACGCCGUCCUCCUCUCAACAGACUAAAUUUAGAUAAAGGAAGCAGGAUGCUACUGUGGAUCUGCUGCAGUAUCUGGAGACGUCAGAGGAACGGUUCUUGGAACAGAUCUGAAGACACCGAGACCUGACCACUGCCCUGCUCCAGAACAUCCAGAGGACGGAUGGAAAUUCAAGCACCUUGGCUGGACUGAUGGGAUGCAUGGUGUCGGUGCUGGAGGGACUGUCACAGAAAUAAACUGCAUUGUCCACUA